CACGUAGGCACCAAGCGUUGUCCGGAUUUAUUGGGCGUAAAGCGCUCGUAGGCGGUUCAGUAAGUCGGGUGUGAAAACUUUGGGCUUAACCCAAAGCGUGCAUCCGAUACUGCUGUGACUUGAGUUCGGUAGGGGAGCAGGGAAUUCCUAGUGUAGCGGUGAAAUGCGCAGAUAUUAGGAGGAACACCGGUGGCGAAGGCGCUGCUCUGGGCCGAAACUGACGCUGAGGAGCGAAAGCGUGGGUAGCAAACAGG
rnacentral:rRNA from 1 species